GGUGAAACACAAGACAGAAAUCUGAUAACACUUUUAUGUAGCGUUGCUUCUUCGCAAUUUAUUCAUUUGAUUUGGAUUCGGCGAGCGACGCACGUGUCCGCAAUGGACUUUCAAAAUAUAAAAUUUUAAUUCGCGGAAGGACUCCGUGGUGGCUCCAAAUUAUUAAUUACAAAAGAAGAUAAGCAAAUUUAUUGCAAAAAUAAGUGCUUAAAAAGUGGUGAAACAGCCUAUCCAUGCCGCGAAAAAACUUGCAAAGCUCGUGUUUAUCUGAGUUCUGAAGAAACUUGUGUUUAUUCGAAGAGUGAGGUGCCAUAUCAUAAUCACGGUAUCCAAGAACAAUUAAUGGACAAAAUGGGCAUAGUUUGCGAGAUAAAAAACAAUGCACAGUGACCGAUGAAAAAAAUUCCGACACACGGAAAAUUUUUAACGACGUUUUGGCCGAAUUUACUGAAGGAGAAGGUCCUGAAAUAGAGCUUCCUUAUGACCAAUGCAAGCGUACGAUGCAAAGGAAAAGGCAACCAGUAAUGCCGAAAUCGCCUACUACUUUUGAGGAGCUACGAGUGGCAUACAAUAUUGAUUCGAUUAUGAGUCAGUUUGGUAUGAGUAAGAAAAUCCAGCCAAAAAAAUGUUUAGGCAUUUGCAUUAUUCGGAGGCAUUUUCAUAUGUAAUUUUCGCUUCUGCAAAAACUAUUUCACUAAUGGAAGAAAAAAUCCCAGUUAGUGAACGUCAUUAUUUAAUGGAUGCCACUUUUAAAGUAUGUCCAUUUGGUGCUUUUAAACAGUUUCUUAUAGUUUACAUUAAAUAUACGGAGAAGAUUACACCUUUCAUCGUUGCUCUAAUGUCGAGAAAAACAGAAAUUUGUUACCUACAUUUAUUUACAUAUAUUGAUAGUAAUAUUUGUAAUCUGGAUGGAGCAUCGUUCAUGUCGGACUAUGAAAAGGCGAUGCGUAAUGCGAUUAGAAGUUUGCAUCCUUCCACUAGAUUUUACGCAUGCUGGUUUCAUUUCUGCCAGGCGUGUAAAAAAACGGCAAAAAAAUUAGUGGGUUCGAAGUUGAAAUCAAACACAACAGGAGUUUCUACACAAUUUUUAUGACGUUUCUCCAUCUUCCUCUGCUUCCGCCCAAUUUAAUUGAACCAACUUUCGCCAUACUAAAAAAAGAAGCUUUUGUUCUUAACAAAAAUAUUUUUCAACGCUUUUUGACUUAUUAUGAUAAGCAGUGGCUAAAAUCUGAAGGACCUGACCGCAUUUCCGUUUUUAAGAGAGCCCUCAGAACGACAAGUUCUCUUGAGGCCGACAAUUUAAAUUUAGGGAAUAAAAUUCACACAAAAGGAUAUUUCUUCUUCAAAAAGUCGAGAAUUCGCGCUUUUAUUUCAAAAUGGAGGACUUGGAAAUGCCCCACAAAAGCGUUAUUUAAAGGUAAGUACGCUUUUUAAAGUUUCAACCAAAAACAUAAGUACAUAUUUCAAACUUAUUUCUUUUUUACAGGACCGUUCUCAAAAAAUAAUGGAUUCCAUGGAUCUUUUGGAGGCAAUAGAAACUUAUGUGCAAGGAUUCUUGUCUCGAACCCUUGCCUUAAAUGAUCGCUUCAAAAAUCAGGAUCUUUUUAAAAAUUUUGCACUCGAAAACGAAGGCCUCAGAUUGGAGGACAUGGCGGCUCUGAGUAUUUUGGAAUCAUAUGUUUCCUCGAAUGAUUCGAAUCUUAGCCAAAUGUCAGAGUCGGAAAUAAUCCAACAGAGUCCAUGUAAUGGGUGCUUAGUCAGCCCAAAAUCAGUUUGGUUUCGACCUUGCAACCAUCUAAACGUCUGAAAUCAGUGUUGGGAUUGCAUAUUACAGAAAGCACAAGCUACGGAAAUGCAACUAAAAUGCCCGACUUGUAAUCAACAUGUUACCAAGGCUAUUAUAUUUGAAGAGCUCUCUGUCGGAUUUGGAGGAUAAAGAACUGAUCCACUCGAAGCAAAGAUUCCACUACAAGCUUUGUCCAUGGAAUGGUGAUGACGCUUCGGAAGGACCAGAUACGUGUCAGUGUCAUAGGCUUCCGAUUUUAAGAGACGAGGCCUUCAAUAUUAUGUUAAAAUAUUAUAAGCUAAACAAACGACUUAAUAAACUACAUUGAUUUUCUUAAA